rnacentral:rRNA from 1 species
GACGGAGGGUGCUAGCGUUGUUCGGAAUUACUGGGCGUAAAGAGCGCGCAGGCGGUCAGAUAAGUCGAAUGUGAAAGCCCCCGGCUCAACUGGGGAGGGUCAUUCGAUACUGUUCGACUCGAAGGCAGGAGAGGGAAGCGGAAUUCCCGGUGUAGUGGUGAAAUGCGUAGAUAUCUGGAGGAACACCGGUGGCGAAGGCGGCAUCCUGGACCGACACUGACGCUGAGGAGCGAAAGCCAGGGGAGCAAACGGG